GAAAUGCGAUAAGUAAUGUGAAUUGCAGAAUUCAGUGAAUCAUCGAGUCUUUGAACGCACCUUGCGCUCCUUGGUAUUCCUUGGAGCAUGCCUGUUUGAGUAUCAUGAAAUCUUCAAAGUAAAUCUUUUGUUAACUCAAUUGGCUUCUACUUUGGUAUUGGAGGUCUUUGCAGCUUCACACCUGCUCCUCUUUGUUCAUUAGCUGGAUCUCAGUGUUAUGCUUGGUUCCACUCGGCGUGAUAAGUUAUCUAUCGCUGAGGACACUGUAAAAGGUGGCCAAGGUAAAUGCAGAUGAGCCGCUUCUAAUAGUCCAUUGACUUGGACAAUACUUUUAUGAUCUGAUCUCAAAUCAGGUAGGACUACCCGCUGAACUUAAGC
rnacentral:misc_RNA from 1 species